AUUGCGGAAGAGCGGUAAAUAGUGUCCCUUAUUUCUUUCUGUGCAUAUACGCUCGCAUACCGCGUAUGACCUGUUAAAUUUACCCAAGUCAAUGUUGUGUGCGAAUAUCGCGUUGUGAAUUGCUUGCUGUUUUCGCCUUGUCCGGCGAAUUCUCAGAAUGCGUUAAAGAAACGGCUUGCAUUGUGAUGAAUUGCUUUGAUUUUGCUGCGGUUCCUAUGUAGUGUGGUCCUCAGAGAAAAUUAAAGUAGUUUUUAAUCAUUUUGUGAUGGAGAAGAAAAAGACACGCAGUGAAAUUGAAACUUCCGCUGCAUACAUUAUGACGUAACACUGUUAGGGAAUUAAUGACCAGGGACUAUAGACUUUUUGCUGUGACUUCAUAUACUGACUCUCCGGAUUGUAGUGCGAGUAGUUGCAUCGCAUUCUUCAGUAUUUUCCAUUGAGAUGCCCACAUUUACAUCAUUUCACAGACUCUUUAAACGGGAAUGGAGCGCAAGAAAAUGCUGUAGGAGAUGCUUAGAACUGCAGUCACAUGGAGUGGAUCAAGAAACAAGAAAUGCACGAGAUAUCUGUUGUGCCAAGACUCCAUGAUCUGCAUGGAGAGACACCUUUUUCAUGGAACACCUAUUGUUAAUUCAAAGGUGAUAACUUUCUGAACUGUGAAAAUCUCAUCACUUGAACAAAAAGAUAGACUUCAGUAUUUUUGCUCAAGAAUUAAUUGUAAACCCUCUCCAUUUUGCUUUACUCCACUUAAAAUUGGAGUAAUUUUAUCAAGAAUCUGCCGUCUUCCAAAAGGCGGCCAACAAUUCAAAUUACAACUCAAACUGUAGCACAUGUUAAUCCCAGAA